rnacentral:rRNA from 1 species
UAGGGAAUAUUCGGCAAUGGGCGAAAGCCUGACCGAGCAACGCCGCGUGAAUGAUGAAGGCCUUAGGGUUGUAAAGUUCUGUUAUAAGGGAAGAACGACUUUAGUAGGAAAUGGCUAGAGUGUGACGGUACCUUAUGAGAAAGCCACGGCUAACUACGUGCCAGCAGCCGCGGUAAUACGUAGGUGGCGAGCGUUAUCCGGAAUUAUUGGGCGUAAAGCGCGCGCAGGUGGUUGAUUAAGUCUGAUGUGAAAGCCCACGGCUUAACCGUGGAGGGUCAUUGGAAACUGGUCGACUUUGGUGCAGAAGAGGGAAGUGGAAUUCCAUGUGUAGCGGUGAAAUGCGUAGAGAUAUGGAGGAACACCAGUGGCGAAGGCGGCUUCCUGGUCUGGAACUGACACUGAGGCGCUAAAGCGUGGGGAGCAAACA